UAUUAGCCCCGACAGUAGUGGCAUCCUUUUUGAUUAUAAAGCUUUUUUUUGGGCUUUAUAAUCAAAAAGAUACAACGAAUGGCGGGUUGUGGU
rfam:Flavobacterium branchiophilum FL-15, complete genome.